rnacentral:lncRNA from 1 species
CAGAAAAGUAGAUUCUGUCUUGUAAUUUCAAUAAAGUUGUUGCAUGUGCUAUUUCUCAAACCCAAGUGGAAGGUCAUGAAUGUCAGUGUAUAUUAUGGCAAGAAUAUCAACAAUAUAUGGCAACCAAAUUGUAACAGAAUAUCUUGUAUUAUUGUAUUUAUUAUAGACUACAAAUCAGGGAUUAGAGACGGUAAAUUAGGGAUUAUUACAUGUAUUUAGACUGAAUUCUUCCUUCAGAGAUCAAUGAAAACAGAGAACAAUUUUACAUUGAAAUUUAAUAUUUGUGACAUGGUAUCAGAGCUAAUUAUUCUAAUCUAGACCUUUGUUCUUCUCUUCAGUCUACAGACUGAAUUCGUCAUUAUUUGGUAAUUUUUUUUGGGUUCCUAGGAUGUCUGGAGAGGCUUUUCUUACUCGAUUCAAUGGCAAAAACUAUGCCAUUUAGGAGUUUCAGUUUCGUAUGUUUGUUAAAGGGAAGGAAUUAUAGGGGCAUCUCGAUGGAUCUUCACCAGCACCAACCGAUCCACAGGAGCUGAGUAUAUGGACUACCAAGGAUGCGAAAAUUGGCUCUUGGAUACUGGGGUCUGUUGAACCCCAUAUGAUCAACAAUCUUCGAUCGUUUGGCACAGGGGGAGGAGAUUUGGGACUACUUCAGACGCAUCUAUUCCCAGAACAAUUCAGCUAAAAAAUUUCAAGUCGAAAUGUGUAUUGCGAAUUACAAACAAGGUAAUCUCUCAAUUGAACAAUUCUAUGCUGGAUUUCUAAACCCAUGGAGUGAAUAUACUGGCAUAAUUUACUCUAAAAUACCGAAGGAGAGUUUAAAAGCACUAUACCUUGUUUAUGCCGAGAGCCAGAGGGACCAGUUCUUAAUGAAGCUCCGACCAGAAUUUGAGACCGUGAGAGCUAGCUUGAUCAACCAAAAUCCAGUACCCACUUUGGAUGAAUGUUUGGGGGAACUGUUAUGGGAAGAACGAUGACUCGCCACUCAACACGAGUUGACUCAGGACACUGUCACAGAGAUGAAUGUGGCUUACAUGACUCAAGGAAGGGGACGACAGAGACGAUAGAGGGGUGUGAGUGUGCAGUGUUUUAAUUGCAAAGAAUUAAGGCACAUUGCCAGAAAUUGCAGCGAGAAAUUCUGUAAUUAUUGUAAGAAAGAGGGGCAUGUAAUCAAGGAAUGUCAUCUGCGAUCACAGAAUCGACAAAGGUUUACUGUGCAGUCGAAAUUGGGGGCUGUUUCUAUGGCUGCCGCAGCCGUGUCCUCACCGUCGACACCAGAAUCUUCAUCGUCGGUGAGCUCUUCAUCGAGCACUCUCACUCCCGAGAUGGUGCAGUAGAUGAUAAUAUCUGCCUUCUCUGCACUCGGGAUUUCUGGUAAGAAAGAUAAACUUAACUUUCCCUUGGAUUCGACACAUAAUAAACAAUGGUUAAUGGAUUCGGCAGCGUCGAAUCAUAUGACCAGCAAUGAAAAUGGGUUGUAUAAUGUGCGAAAAUACAUGGGUAAUCAGCAUAUAUGGGUAGCAAAUGGUGAUAAUUUGCUGAUUUUGUCGAUUGGUAAUUUGGGGUCUUAUUUCAAAAAUAUUUUUGUGUCACCAAAAUUAUCCACAAGUUUACUCUCUGUUGGUCAAAUGGUAGAAAAUGACAGUGAAAUUCACUUUGAUCGUCAUGGUUGUUGUGUGCAGGAUCAAGUGUCGGGGAAGGUGAUUGCGUAGGGGCCUAAAGUGGGACGUUUAUUUCCAAUACAAUUUUCUAUUCCUAGUAUUAAUUCUUGUGCUUAUUCUACUGUCAUUAAUAAUCCUUAUUUUUGGCAUAAGAAAUUGGGGCAUCCCAAUUCUAAUGUAUUGACUCAUCUUAUGAAACAUGGAUAUUUGGGGAAUAAAAAUUCUUUUUCAACAGAAUUUUUGGAUUGUAGUUCUUGCAAAUUGGGUAAAAGCAAAGCAUUAUCAUUUUCUUCACAUGGUAGUCGUGCUUCUAAAUGUUUUGAAAUUAUUCAUAUUGAUGUAUGGGGCGUAAGCCCUGUUAUCUCUUAUGCUUAAUAUAAAUAUUUUGUCACGUUUAUUGAUGAUUUCAGUCGUUUCACUUGGAUAAAUUUUCUCCAAUCUAAGACUGAUGUAUUCUCAACAUUUCAAGCUUUCGUUGUAUUUGUUGAAAAUCAAUUUUCUGCUCAUAUUAAAAUACUUUGUUCUGACUCCGGGGGGGAAUGUGUCCAAAGAAUUUCAGGAAUAUCUAAAAAACAAAGGGAUUCUCUCUCAAAGAUCUUGUCCCUACACCCCUCAACAUAAUGGAGUUGCUGGGCGUAAGAAUCGUCAUCUUUUAGAUGUUGUUCGCACCUUAUUAAUUGAUUCUUCGGUACCUACUCGAUUUUGGAUAGAAGCUCUGUCAACAGCCGUUCAUCUAAUUAAUCGUUUGCCUUCUCAAGUUCUAAACUUUGCAUCUCCAUACUCUAUUUUAUUUGGUGUUAUUCUUGAGUAUGAUUCUCUUCAUGUUUUUAGGUGUGUUUGUUUUGUUCACUUACCAUUUACUGAACGUAAUAAACUUUCAGCCCAAGCUGCUCGUUGUGCUUUUCUAGGAUACAAUAAUUCUCAUAAAGGGUUUGUGUGUUAUGAUGCAAAUGCUCAUAAAAUUCGUAUCUCUCGAAAUGUGAUUUUCUUUACAAAAUCAGAAUUUUUCCCUUCUUGUCCCUCUACAGAAUCCACUCCUAUCCAGCUUCCCAUAUUUGAUGAUGAUAGUCCAUCUUAUAUCUUUGAACGUUUUAAGCCAGGAAUUGUAUAUCAAAGACGUCAUCCACCAUCCACUUUGCCCCUUCCGGACACGGAACCGACAUCUGAUCAUUCCCCUCAACUAAGACGAUCAAUUCGAGUUUCACGUGCCCCAAACAGGUAUGGAUACUCAGCAACUAUUAUUGAUAGUACUUUUGUGCCUAAGACUUAUGCCCAGGCUUCUACCCAAGACUGUUGGCAACAUGCCAUGAAAGAGGAACUUCAGGCUCUUCAGGAUAAUCACACAUGGGAUAUUGUUUCUUGUCCUACCGGAAUUAAACCUAUUGGCUGCAAAUGGGUAUACACUAUUAAAUUCCAACCUGAUGGAUCUGUGGAACGAUAUAAAGCACGGUUGGUGGCUCUUGGAAAUUGUCAGGCAUAUGGUAUUAAUUAUGAGGAGACAUUUGCACCUGUGGCUAAAAUGACUACCAUACGAACCAUUAUGGCAAUUGCUGCUUCCAAGAGAUGACCACUUCGUCAAAUGGAUGUAAAAAAUGCAUUUUUACAUGGAGACCUGAAAGAGAAUAUUUAUAUGACUCCUCCUGGUAUGUUUACUCACCCAUCUGAUAAAGUUUGCUGGUUGAAACGGUCUCUGUAUGGUCUAAAACAGGCACCACGUGCAUGGUUUGAAAAAUUACGCACUACUUUUCUAAAACUUAAAUUUAUUCAGAGCCAAUAUGAUUCCUCUCUGUUUCUUCAGCAAACUACUACUGGUAUUGUUGCUCUUUUGGUAUAUAUGGAUGAUAUUAUCAUUACAGGAUCUAACAUUACACUCAUUGAGGAUUUACAGGGUUCUCUUAACAGUGAAUUUCAUAUGAAGGAUCUGGGACACCUUCACUAUUUUCUUGGUCUACAGGUGCCCUCUAUGUCCAAUGAGAUUUCUCUACAUCAGCACAAAUACACCCAAGAGAUUUUUCUCUUGGACGGUCUUGAAUCAGGGAAUAUCGUUCUUACACCUCUCGAGAUUAAUUUAAAACUUUGUUAGAAUGAUGGUGACCUGUUACCUGAUCCCUCCAUAUACAGGCAAUUGGUGAGCAAUUUGAAUUAUCUAACCAUUACUCGGCCAAAUAUUUCUUUUGCAGUAUAACAAGUCAGUCAAUUUUUACAGGCUCUUCGUCAACCUCAUUUAGCUGUUGUCUGAAGAAUUCUUCGCUAUCUUAAAAGCACAUCUGGGCGAGGAUUAUUUUUUCCUGCUGAUAAUUCAUUACAAUUAACAGGUUAUAGUGAUGCAGAUUGGGCAGGGUGCAUGGAUACACGUCGGUCUGUUACUGGGUGAUGUAUGUUUCUUGAAAAUGCUUUCAUUUCAUGGAAAAGCAAAAAGCAAGACCAAAUCUCAAAAUCUUCCACAGAAUCUGAGUAUCGAGCUAUGUCCUCCGCAUGUUCUGAAAUUGUGUGGUUCCAGGGUUUGCUACGUGAACUUGGUUUUUCUCAGCACACUCCUACACCUCUUCAUGCUAAUAACACAAGUGCUACUCAAAUUGCUACUAAUCCUGUGUUUCAUGAACGCACCAAACAUAUUGAAGUUGAUUAUCACUAUAUUUGUGAAGCUCUUGAUCAUAAUAUUCUUACACUACCUUAUAUUUCCACCGAGCAUCACACAGCUGAUGUCUUUAUGAAGGCCUUGUCUCGGCUUCGACAUCAACUCAUGAUUGACAAAUUGAUGCUUCUUGAUCGGCCAACAUCAAUUUGAGGGGGGAUGUCAGUGUGUAUUAUGGCAAGAAUAUCAACAAUAUAUGGAAACCAAAUUGUAACAUAAUAUCUUAUAUUUAUUAUAGACUACGAAUCAGGGAUUAGAGACGGUAAAUUAGGGAUUAUUACAUGUAUUUAAAGGACUGAAUUCUUCCUUCAGAGAUCAAUGAAAACAAAAAACAAUUUUACAUUGAAAUUUGAUAUUUGUGACAAUGAAACACUGCCAUGUUACAAGAGAUGACACAGACAGCAACAAACAGGAUGAUGCUAUUAACGGGAUGAUGCUAGCAAACAGGCUGUUUAAUUUUACUUUCAGCAGAGCAGAACUAGUGCUUCAUGCUACUAACAUAUCUAUUAGGAGAGCUAACAAACAUAUAGAGACAGAGAGCAGAGAGGAGAAAGCAGCAAUAACAGGCAGUUCCUGGUCAAGGUAUGGAUCAUCCUCUGCAUUCGUCAGCAUCAAUUCCUACAUCUGGGCCAGGGUCUUCUUCUGCAGGUUCUUCCUUGGCGGGGUGUAUGAAUUCACGGCCUACCUCCUCCUUGUUGUACCCUUGUAGACCGCCCUCCAUGGUUCCUCUCUAGCCAUAAUGAUCACGAACGUCAAGAAUAAUAGUAGUAUUAGUUUCCAAGUUGACAAUGAAGAGGUGAUUAUUCACAAGCAUGCAAACCAGCAGAGAUAAACAUAAAAGCUGGGUGGAGAAAGGGUUACGUUCAGCUAGGAAUUCCUGAGCUUCAAGGCACUUACCACCUCUCCUUCCUUUGCCUUGGCAUCAAGUUCUGAUCUUACUUGCUGUGUGGUCAUCCCAAGUUUCAUGAAGUAGUAUAAAAUCUGAGUAUCAUCCCCUUGCCGCUGAUGUUGCCGAAUCAUCUUGGUUUCAUUCUUUGCUUAGUGACUUAUCUAUUGCACCUCGUCUACGCUGAUAAUAUUUCCACCACGUAUCUCGUAGUCAAUCCUAUUAAUCAUGCUAGGACUAAGCAUUUAAAGGUUGCUUUGCAUUUUGUUCAUGAACGAGUUGCGUCGAGAGAUAUCAGAGUCAAGUUUGUUUCCAGUAGUGAUCAUGUGGCCGAUAUUCUCACCAAUAUUUUCACCAAA